rnacentral:rRNA from 1 species
GACGAACGCUGGCGGCGUGCCUAAUACAUGCAAGUAGAACGCUGAAGGAGGAGCUUGCUUCUCUGGAUGAGUUGCGAACGGGUGAGUAGCGCGUAGGUAACCUGCCUGGUAGCGGGGGAUAACUAUUGGAAACGAUAGCUAAUACCGCAUAAUAGUAGAUGUUGCAUGACAUUUGCUUAAAAGGUGCAAUUGCAUCACUACCAGAUGGACCUGCGUUGUAUUAGCUAGUUGGUGGGGUAACGGCUCACCAAGGCGACGAUACAUAGCCGACCUGAGAGGGGGAUCGGCCACACUGGGACUGAGACACGGCCCAGACUCCUACGGGAGGCAGCAGUAGGGAAUCGUCGGCAAGGGACGGAAGUCUGACCGAGCAACGCCGCGUGAGUGAAGAAGGGUUUCGGAUCGUAAAGCUCUGUUGUAAGAGAAGAACGAGUGUGAGAGUGGAAAGUUCACACUGUGACGGUAUCUUACCAGAAAGGGACGGCUAACUACGUG